rnacentral:lncRNA from 1 species
UGCAUUCUAACAAUAAUAAUUUACCAAUAUUCUUUCAAGGAUAGUUCAUUUGUUUAUCAUGACAGUAUUUUUACUAGUUCACCAUUAUCUCAACUAGCAAAAUUUACAUGUUAACAAUCAACUUGUUCCCCUUUCCAAUUGAGGGUAAAGGCCCACAAAAAAAUCUCUUUGAUUGAUGGAAGGGUUGCUCGGAUUUAUGAACCUGUGAAACAAAAAAUACAAGAAAUCAAGUUACAAUACCAUACGGCAGACUUUUUCCCCUUAUAUAUGCACUGCUAUUUCAGUAAUCUCUUUGGGAGAAAUUUAGUCGCUGGGCGAUGCUUUUCAGCCGUCAAGUCAAAUGAAGAGCAUUGGUGCGAAAACAAUCAGACAUCAGUGAACUGUACCCGACAACACCAUUUGCUAUGUUUAGGUGAUGCUUGGCUGACUGACAGUUGAAUCUUCUUUGUAGCCUGGUAAAACUAAACACAUGAAUCGUUUUUCAUUUAAAAAAUGGAAGCAUAACAUUUCUCUCUCAUAUUUACUUCGAGAUGAUCGUAUCGAAGUCAUCCUAGCUGACAACUUCUGGCAUCAUACCCGGUUAACAGAAGAUCAGCCAACUGCUAUCACACAAAAUGGUCAGAAAUAAAAGAAGUCAUCCAGGUGAUCUAUUCAUAAGGAAAAUAAUAUUAAGAAUAAUCUCGCGAUUCUAAGAAGAAAAAUACUCGCGAAGAGAGCAGAAGAUUAAAUCGUAAUGAAACAUAUCGUGAACGUAAUUUUAUGACAGGCCUCAGAUUAGCAUUAUGGCACAUUCAUCUUCACCAAAAGCAACCUCAGGUAAAUUAACCCGAUGCGCAAAAAAUUGCUCCGGCUCAUGCCACUCGCUAUCAUCAACGCCACAGAUUCACGUGUUGAAAAAAAACACGUCUGUCCUUCAAAGUGAUAGAAGAAACAAGACAGGGAGAUUAAAGCCGAAUAAACCAGAGAAGACCCUACGACAAAACUGUACACGGCAACACCGAUCUCACCUGCGAACACGGCCCUCUUCGGAGGGAUAGAAACGCAGGCACCGGGGAAGACAGGGAAAUACACAAAAACGUCUAAAUCGGACGAAGAGAACACGGUAACUCUCGAGAAGAUCUCCUGAGAACACCUCCUCGGAUGGAUCGAGAGGGAUCGGGAGCAGGGAUUAGGGUUUCUCAACCUCCGCCGUCCCGAGAAAACCCCAGUCCAGCGUAGCCACCACCCAUCCCUGUCGGGGGAUAGGAGAAGCACCGUAUUAGAAAGAAGGAAAGCUC